rnacentral:rRNA from 1 species
CCUGGCGGCCGUAGCGCGGUGGUCCCACCUGACCCCAUGCCGAACUCAGAAGUGAAACGCCGUAGCGCCGAUGGUAGUGUGGGGUCUCCCCAUGCGAGAGUAGGGAAUCGUUGAAA